rnacentral:rRNA from 1 species
CCUGCUCAAUGGAAUUAAAUAGCCGCAAUUUUGUGCUAAGGUAGCAUAAUAACCUGUUCUCUAAUUAAGAAAUAGAAUGAAAGGAAAAACGAUUUUAACACUUUCUUUUAAAUAUAAAUCAAAAUUUACUUAAUAGUAAAAAUUCUAUUAUAAUAUAGGAAGACGACAAGACCCUACGAACUUAACAAUUUAACUGGGGUAGUAAUAUAAUUAUAAUUUAUUAUAAAAAUUACAAUUCAAGCUACAAAGAAACAAACAAAGUUACCGUAGGGAUAACAGCGUUAUAUAUAUUUAAAGCUCCUAUUAAAAUAUAUUAAUGCGACCUCGAUGUUGAAUUAUUAAUCCUUAAAUAAGCACAAUUAUUUAAAGAAAGUCUGUUCGACUUUUAAAUUAAUACAU